UUUUUUUUUUGUCAAUCAUAAAUUUUAAAUAUUAGUCAAAUAAAUAACAUGGUACUUAAAAAACUUAUAUGAGUAUAUUUUACAGAUUUACUUUAUCAAAAAAUUUUGAUAGUAAACAACAGUAUUCAACUUGAAAAAAUAUUCAAGUCACCUAACAGAAACCAAUUUUGGAUAUACUCGAUUCUUCUUAUUUUGUCACUACAAAGUUUUUUUGUGUCUCUUUUGAUGCACACUAAUAAUGUUGUAACAACACUAAAAAUGUAUCUAUAGUCCAAAAAAAAAAACAUUAAAAUUUGCAAGCAAAUAUGAGUCAUCAUAGAUGAUUAUCGUUGAUUGAAGUAAUAAAUUAAUGUGGAGAAAAAUAGAGUAGCUAGGGACCAUUGAAGAUUUUAAAGAAAGCACAUAGAUAAGAGAAACAAACACAUAUAUUAGACAAAUUUAUUUGUGUCAUAAGUAACUCUUAACAAAUAUAAUAAGAAAAAAGUAAUCUGAAAAUUAAUUUCUACAAAUUUAGAAACAAUACCAUACAAAUUACUAAAACUAUACCGAAAUUGACUAAAACUGAAACUUUGAUAUUAUGCCACUAGAAAUCUCUUUUUAUACAUACUAGAUCAUCACCCGUACUACAGUACGGAUUGAAUUUCAUUUAUUACAAAAUUAAUAAAUUUUAUGUUUUAGAAUAAAGUUGUGAUAUAUUAUAAUAGUAAUUGAAAAUAUAAUAUUUUUUUGUCAGUCCCUAUAUAUAAUAUUAGAAUGAAUAUAUUUUCCUUUUUUUAUAGUAUUCAAUUAUGGAUGUUUUCUUUAAGAUAUGAAAACGGAAAAUAAGAUUAUUUUUAAAAAUAAUUAAUAUUGUUUGAACAAUGAGUUGCUUUAUGUUAACAACCACAAAAUGAGAGUGCAUAUAAUUUAGUUAGAUCAAAAUCAAAAUAUCAUAAAUAAAUCGCAUCUAAAACGUAGAUUAUUUUGAAUUCCUUAAGAAAAUUAGCUAUUAUUUUGAAUUAAUUUAGGAAAUUGUUUUUUCAAAUUCUGAUUCAUUGGUUGUUGAAAUAGAGAUUUGUUUGAGCUAAUUAAGAAAUUUAUCAAUUAUUCACAUAAUCAAAUAUGUUAUGAACAUAUAUUUGGUAUAUAAUAAUACCAAAUUCAAUCUGUGUGUGGAGUCUAUAUUUUCAUUUUACAAUCCCUAUGAAAAUAUUGCGGCAUAAUCUAUUAUUUAUUAUUUUCAAAACUGCUUGCAGAAUCAAAUUUUCAAAUAUUUAGAAGUGUCAAACCUUAUUUAACUCAUCUCAUCAUAAAAUCUUAAAAUGCCGUCUGUUAUAUAAUACAUUACAUUUUACCCGCCGCCUAAUAUAAAUAUUUUAAACAUAUCUUUUUAGAAAAUCAAAUUAAUGUAUUUAUAAUUUUUUUUAUCUUUUUAAUCUAUUAAAUAUUUAUGAUAUUCUUUAAUAUAUUAAAUUAAACUUUUUUAAAAUGUUCCAAAUUAAAAUCUUUAAUUUUUUUUAUUGUAGUAUGUAAAAUUAUGAAUUAAAAAAAAUGAUAUGAAAUUAAAUAUAAAUAUUCAGAUAGUUAUAAGGAUCAUACUCAUUUCAUCAUAUAAUAUAUUAUAUUAAACCCGCCACCUAUUAUAAAUAUUUGUUUCAAAAAAUCAAAUUAGAGUAUUUAUACUUCAUAAUUUUUUGAUCUAUUAAGUAUUGAUGAUAUUAAAAAAAAAGAAUAUAUUACUCAAAUAUGAAUUUUUGAUCCGUUAAAUUUGUUCUUUCAUACUUUGAAUCAUUUAUAUUUGUUUUUAAAAAUUCAAAUCUUGGUAUAUGCAGAAAAAAAAUUUACUUUUUUUUUAAAUUAUAUAGAUUAUAUAAUGAUUUAUUAAAUAGAAUCAUAUAAAGAUGACAGGUGGAGUAUAAUGAUUAAUAACAAAUUAAUAUGGUAAGUUAGAUAUCAAAUCUUAUAUGUUCAUUUUGAAUGGUCAUUUUUUUAAAAGAAAUUAAUAAUAGAUUUGUUUUAUAAUUAAAUUAAAUUAAUUAAAUUGCAUAAAAUUGUAUUUGACUUGUUUAUCCUUAAUGAGUUGAAUUAAUUUAUUCUAUUAAAUUUUAUUUCUAAUGGUAUUUUAAGUAAAUUCUUACAAAGGGAAAUGUUAAUUAAGGGUAAUUGUAAAUUGUACUCCCCAAAUAAUAAUUGUAAUUAAGGGUAAUAUUCCACUUUGAACAAAAAAAAAGUAAAAAAAAAAACAUAUAUUCCACAUGAAAAUGACUUCUACGAUAAUGGGCUCCUCAUGGGCUUCGUUCAUGAUGUGUAAGAUCGGACACCAUGGUUACUGGUUAGGACUUAGGAGAAAUAACAAAAUAAAUCAUAUUGAAAAUGUGGUGAAUAAUGUUAGUUGUUGACAAAAAAAUAAUGUUACUUAUCUUGUUAUCUUCCCGCACUACUAAAAAAACUCAGUUUUCAUCUAACAAUGGUGGAACCUUCGUUCUCUCAACUCCUUGUCUUAUUUAUAAACUUACUCUUUCUCUUCACUACUCUCGGGUCAAGUGCCAAGACCCGAUUCAAGUAUUCGUUAGAAAAGCCUCACCACCCGCUUGACCCACUAACGACACCUGAAAUAAAGAGAGUCCAAACCAUUCUCUCGGGUCAUGAUCCGGGUUUCGGGUCCGGGUCAGCCAUCAUUCACGCCAUGGCUCUCGACGAGCCGGAGAAGCAACGUGUCGUCCGGUGGAAGAAAGGUGAUCGUCUCCCGCCGCGAAGAGCAGAGGUUCUUGCGAUGUCUAACGGCGAGAGUCACGUGCUCACUGUGGAUCUUAAUUCGGGUCGGGUUGUUUCCGAUUUGGUCAGCCCCACUUUUGGGUACCCGAUUCUUACCAUGAAAGACAUCAUCGCAGUCUCACAGGUCCGUCCGGUUUAAAUUGGAAUCAAAAUCUGAGUAAACCGGUUUAAUUAUUUAAAUUCAAACCAAAUCUUAGCAGACAGGUCUAAUUAUUUCCACAAUCCCAACUCCCCCAAAAGUGUAGGUUCCUUACAAGAGCAUGGAGUUCAAUCGCUCAAUCGAGGGGCGUGGGAUUCCAUUCUCCGGUUUGAUUUGUAUUACACCGUUCGCGGGUUGGUAUGGACCGGACGAAGAAGGACGACGAGUCAUAAAGAUCCAAUGUUUCUCAAAGCAAGACACAGUCAAUUUCUACAUGAGACCUAUUGAAGGACUUUAUUUAACCGUCGAUAUGGAUAAACUAGAGAUCAUCAAGAUUGUAGACAAUGGACCGGUUCCGGUUCCCAAGUCUACCGGUACGGAAUAUAGAUAUGGAUUUCUUAAUGAGACGGUACAUAUGGACCGUGUCAAUCCAAUGUCGAUGGAGCAACCGGACGGUCCAAGUUUUCAGGUUGAGGAUGGAUACUUGGUUAAGUGGGCGAAUUGGAAAUUUCAUAUCAAACCGGACCAACGUGCCGGUAUGAUCAUCUCACAGGCUACAGUUCGUGAUUCCAAGACAGGUAAUUAUAUCACAACGAAGUCCCUUGAAUUUAGUCAUUGUUACAAAUUGACGAAAAUAGUCUUCCAAGUUACAAUGGAACCCAAUUUGUUGAGGUUGAAACAGGUGAAGCAAGAAGUGUGAUGUACAAAGGUUUUGCGUCAGAGUUGUUCGUACCGUAUAUGGACCCAGGGACAGGUUGGUACUCCAAAGCGUACAUGGAUGCUGGAGAGUUUGGUUUAGGACCUUCUUCAAUGCCGCUUGUGCCGCUCAACGACUGUCCUCGAAACGCUUACUAUAUUGAUGGUUUCUUCGCUUCUCCUCAAGGCAUUCCAGUCCUUCAACCUAACAUGAUCUGCUUGUUCGAACGCUACGCGGGUGACAUUAGCUGGCGUCACUCUGAGAUUCUUCUCCCUGGUACAGAUGUAAUGUUAUAACACACCACUAAUAGUGUUUUCAUUAUAUAUGAUAUGUUACGAAGAACAAUCCUUAUGUAAAUGUAAUUUGCAUAUCGACAGAUAAAAGAAUCAAGGGCAAAGGUGACACUGGUGGCUAGAAUGGCGUGUUCAGUUGGGAACUAUGAUUAUAUAUUUGAUUGGGAGUUUCAAAUGGAUGGUUUGAUUCGUGUUACGGUAUGGUUACAUUAUGUAUGCUUAUCCAUUUAUAAUUUCUCUUAAUAGUUCUCAUAAUGAAAAACGUUAUAAAUAGGUCGCUGCCUCAGGGAUGUUGAUGGUGAAAGGAACGGCUUACCAAAACGUUGAAGACUUGGGUGAGAAAGAGGAGGAUUCUGGACCGUUGAUCUCAGAAAACGUUAUAGGAGUCGUCCACGAUCAUUUCAUAUCGUUUCAUCUAGACAUGGACAUUGACGGGUCAGCCAACAACUCGUUCGUUAAGGUUCAUCUAGAGAAGCAGAGAGUUCCGCCUGGAAAAUCAAGGAGAAAGAGUUAUUUGAAGGUCAAGAAAUAUGUAGCCAAGACUGAGAAAGAUGCUCAGAUCAAAUUGAGCCUGUAUGACCCCUACGAGUUCCAUUUUGUGAACCCUAACCGGCUUUCUCGUUUAGGGAACCCGGCCGGUUACAAGCUCGUACCUGGUGGUAAUGCUGCAAGUUUGCUCGAUCAUGAUGAUCCACCGCAAAUUAGAGGAGCUUUCACAAACAAUCAGGUACUCGGUUUAAGCUCCGUUUGAAAGGUUCAACAAACUUGAUGUAUAAUACUAUAAUGAAUGAAAUCUAUUGGUUUAGAUAUGGGUGACUCGGUAUAACCGAUCAGAGCAAUGGGCCGGAGGGCUUUUGAUGUACCAGAGCCGUGGUGAAGACACACUACAAGUUUGGUCCGACAGGUACUCACUUAAGCAAUAAACCAUACUUAAUUGCUCCUACUGUCUUGGUUAAUGGUUGACUAUAAGCUUUAUCUUUAACUGCUAUCGUGUGAUGAAACAGAGAUCGUUCCAUUGAGAACAAGGACAUAGUGUUGUGGUAUACACUAGGGUUCCAUCACGUACCGUGCCAAGAAGAUUUUCCAGUUAUGCCAACAAUAGCAUCUAGCUUUGAACUUAAACCGGUCAAUUUCUUCGAAUCAAACCCGGUACUUGGGAUCUCACCUUUCUUCGAGAAAGACUUACCACCAGUCUGUUGACCGGAUCCUUCAUCUUAUUUGACACUGCGCAUUUCAAAUGUCAUGUUUAGACUUUUCCGAUUAUGAUGUUGUGUAUAUUCUUUAAGAAAGGAUUAUUGAUAUAUUUUUAUGCAAUCAAAUAAUCUUGUGUUAUUCAAUUAUUUAGCUGAGACAGCAUCAAUUAGAUUUCUUAAGACGUAUGGUUUACCUUUAAUCAAGAUGAAGAGAAAGGCCUGAAAUCUCAGCUUCGAUCACCACUUUUGUUGCUUCAGGUGUUACAUCCAAGGGACAUCUGGUUUCAGCAAGUUAAUUGUCUAGUUAAAAACAACUCAAAACACAAGAAACGCAGUUAAGAAACGAUGAUGGAACACAAUAAUUGAUAAAAACGGUAAGAACAAAAUUUUGAGAAGAUUGGUCAUAGAUCUUGCAGUCUUUUGAACAUUACUUAGAUAAGAUUUCAUCUAAAUAGAGAAUGUUGCAGAGUUUUCACUCAGAAAGACUAACUCAGACAAAGAGAGAUCAAGAUCAAUUUCUCAUCCAUUGAUUGUACCACAUUGAAACAGCAAAUCAACAAGGUGUGUAUAUGGACGCUUUUUCGCUUGGAACUACAAAAUUCAUUAUCUUUGAGUAUCUUAGCUAGCAACAAAGUCAAUGGAGGGGCCUAUUGUUCCAAGGUCCUCCUUACAUAAAUCUAGCACAUACAAGAAGUUAUAUUGUUGCCAAAUUUAUAAUUCUUCUAGUUCGGCCAAAAUAUCAAAUCAUCCCUAAACACUGCAACAUUGUUCUUUUCUACACAAAUGUCUACUCAAGAUUGCAUCAAAACCAUAAAAAAGCAAACAUUUCAACAAAGAGCGGUAAGAGAAGAGCAUCUAAUCAGUAAUCACUAUUAUUCAGACCUAUCUGAACAAUUCCUAGAGUCAAAGCCGUGCUGAGGAAAACGAAACAAGAAAGAACUCGAUACCUAUUAGAAUUGGACCGAUUAUUGAGUAUGUUAGUCUAUCGGCGGUGGAGUACCAAACUUGAAAGGUGCUGCUAUACAUAAGUUAGAAAGGAAAAUGUCAGAAUAACGCAUUCGCAGCACAUGAAAUGCAAAGAACCAAACUGUAGAAUCUCAACACAAACAACUUAUCAGAAAUAACUGAAAACAGAAAACUACUACAGCAAGUUCACAACCUAUACUAAUGCAGGAAUUUUUACAACUAUACUAAUAGCCUUGUUGAGAUAACGAAAAUUCCCACGGUGAAAUGCCACAGAAUGUUCCAUCAGAAGACUGAUUCGAAAAGGGACUUUGCCAUUUUCGAUUCUUUGUUUCUAUACCUCUAACUGCCUUAAACACACUACGUUUUCUGAAACAUAUACCAAUAGCUUAAUCAAUUGAUCUCAGCAAUAAAAACACACACAACUAUUCUAUAAUUAAACACCACAGUCACUACUUUUUCCAAACAUAUGCCAAUAGAUUAAUCAAUUAGUCUUACUAACCAUCGUCUAAAUUAUAGAAUCCGCAUUAAUGAUAAAACUGACAUUGUAACUCAGAAGCAAAAAAACCCACCCGAAUCAGAGGCAAUGAGAGAAACAAUCAGAAGAUACGCUUGCCGCUUCAAAAUUCAACUCUACAAACGUUAAAAAAAAAUAGAAUCACAAAAUCCAAAUUCACGGACACAAAAUAGAUUUACGAAAAACGUUUCUUCGAAUCCUAAUUUUAUGCAAUUCGUCGAAAGGAUUAGGGAUUUGAUUAAUACUUAAUUCUAAGUUGGGCUUUUAAUGGGCCGAUAUAUGCUUUCAUCAAGAUCCUCUACUAUUUUCAACAUCGAAUGUCACAAAAAUCUUAAUAGAAAAUAGUUUAUAUAAUUCGAAGAUUAAAAGGGCGAAAAUAAAAAAAAUAAAAAAAAUUCGAAGAUUAAAAACAAUAAACAACAUGAAUCUAGAGAUCGUUACAACACAACAAAAUAAAUGGUAAUAUCAAGUUAGAGUUUUCAGAUAGAUUAAUACCCUAAUUAACUUGGAUUAAUCAAGCUGUUAUGAACUAAGAGAACUAACUAAAACAGGGGCCAUUCGAAUUCUUCUUCUUCGCUUAAGAAUUCACUGAUAUCGAUCAUAAACUCGUCUUCUUCUUCGUUGGUUGAGGAAUGAUCUUGAAGAGGAACCUCAAGGUUGUCGUUAAGAAGACCAAACACGUUGUCUUCAUCCUUAAAUAGAUUUUCCCAAAAGCUCUGAUCCUCAGUGAACAACGAUGGUGUCUGUGUUUCUUGAGGAAGACUCAUUCCGUUAUUCUCCUCCUCUGUUUCACAUAAGCAGUCAACAAAUCCAGGAUCUUCAUUCACCAAGUAACGAGAUUGAUCACAUGAGUACUCGCCAACAGAGAAGUUAGGGUUUUGAUCAUAACAAGUAACUUGUGACGAAGGCUCGCCACAUAACUUGCCAAGGGAGGUGUAAGAGUUCUGAUCAAAAGAAACAAUCUGUGAGGAAGACGGAGAAGAGGUACUAGGGUUUUGGCCUAAAUCAGAAGCAAUUUGAGAAGAAGAAGAAGAAGACCCACCAUUAUUGAAUAUCUCGUCGGUGUUAGGGUUUUGAUCGGAAUUAGAAACAAAUUGUGAUUUUUCUUUCUUCUCAAGACAAUCCAUCAGAUGCUUCCUCGUUCUCAUCAUACGAUCUUCGAUGGUAUUUAACUCAGAGAGAUCGUCACAAUAACGAUAUAGAUCAGGGUCUUCCCACCAAAACCCUAACUUGGAUUGAGAGUUAAUAAGCUUGGGAGGAGACUUGCCGUUGAGGUAACAAUCAACAAUUUCAGAGGCAGGAGAGUAGCCGGAGAAGGAGUAAACAACGUCGGAGUUCUCGUCCGGAGAGGUUACGAAGACGGCCAUGUUGGCUCCAGAGAGAAGACAGAGAUCAGCGGCUUUGGAGAAAAGUGUUGGACGGCGUUUGCUACAAGCCACCGAUCGUUGUUGUUUAGUGAAGCGUUUCUCAAUUUCGAUCUUUCUCUUUGUUCCUCUUUUCCUCAUUGUGCACUCAGAUACCUUCUUCGACGACAUUCUUAGGGUUUUGUUUUUUCUUAGAGAGAAGACAAGAGAGAUAAUGGAAUCGUUAAGAGAGAGAGAGAGAGUGAAAAAGAGUAUAAGCAAGGCGCAACAUAAAUAGGAUUAGAUAUCCUAAUGUCUUUUCCUUUUUCACUAUGUUUUUGACUGAGCCGAACUUCUGUAUUUUCCUUUUUUACUACUCGUAUACUUAUGUGCCUAUGAUUUUGUAUACACUUAAUUUAUUUAAAUUUACGAUUUUUUUUUUACAUCUAAAAAUUCAUUUAAAAGUUUUAUAUCACCUCUGGUCUUUGUAUAUCUAGGCACGGUUAUGAGUCUAAAAUCCUUCAGUUGUUUUAACGUUUUCAAAUUCGGUUUGGUUCUUUUUUUUCGGUUCGGUUUCGCUUCAGUUCUUAUGUUCCUGAUUUUUUCGCCCAGACGUAAUGUCAGAUGUGUGUAUAUGGACGCUUUUUACUAACUUCAAAUUCCAUUAUUUAGCUUCAUUCAUGCUCUUUGAAUAUCUUCCAGCAACCAUGUCAAUAGGGAACAUAACAAGACUUGUCUAUCUCACAUGAAUCUAUACAAAUACAAGAAAGUUAUACAAUUGUAUUGCUAAAGCACACAACUAUAGAAGAGAGCUUUCAAUUUCUUGUAGCCACUGUAACACACUAGUAAAAAAAAUACAUAUAGCCACUUCAAUAUUCAUAGCUGCACCUAAAAAUUUGUGGCUAUAAGUCAAUAUAGCCACGACUAGUCACUAAAACUAUUCGUGGCUAUAGCUUCGUAGCUUUAUUUUUCAUGGCUUUUCCUGGCUGUUUAGCCACGAAUUAGUCACGCGUAUUUCGUAGCUGAUUUAUCACAGAUAGCCACUUAAAUAUUCGUGGCUCUACAAGUCUACAGCCACGAAAAUAAUCCUGACUAAUUCGUGACUUUUUCGUAUAAUUUUAAUAAAAGAAAAACAAAAACAAAAAGGAUUAUUAUUUAUUAAUUAAAAUGUGAAAUUGAUUUAUUUAUAAAAUACAAUGAUUUUAACUAAAAAGAAAAAUUAAAACUUUACCAAAAAAAAAAAAAAAAAUUAAAAAAUGCUUCACGAGAUGUCUUUCCGUCAAGCAUCUUCGGUGGUCUCGUGGCGUCGGAUCUGGUGGUGGCUGGAGGUGGAGGGUGAGGGUUCGUCGGGCAUCAGAUCUAGGAGAUCUCAUUGUUGCCCGUUGAAAACAUUGCAGCAAUCGGAAUUUGGAUCAGACUCCAUGGCUGAUGUGACGGCGUCGUUGCGUUGAACUCCAGGGCUGAUGUCACGGCGCUGAUGCGUUGAACAUCGUCAAUGGUGGUGGUGGUGGUGAACGACGGCUUCAAGACGCGGUGGCGGAGGCUUGAUAUGCGAGAUCUGAAAAAAAAAAGAGAACAAAGAAAGGAUUAGUAUUCAUGGGAAAUAGAGAAGAAGAAAAAGAAAGAGAAAUUUACCCAGAAAAACAAAAAGGAAACAGGAGAAGAGAAGUAGAGAUCGUAAAAAAAGAGAGAAGAAGAAGAGAGUAAAUGCUUUUGUUGGGAAUGAGAAACAAAAUAAAAGGAAGAUUUAUGUCCGUUAGAUUUAAUGUUAUCAACGGUGGAUGAUCAACAAAACUGUGAUCCUCGUCAAUGUGGCGUAACCAAUGAGAAGCAAGUCUCUUUUAUUGCAUUUUGUCUAUAUUUUUUAUAACUUUUGUUUGUAUGUGUUUUUAUUAAAUACAUUUGUUUUUAUUUGUUCAAUAUAUUUAUUAAUUAUGGUUUCCAGUUUAGAAUUUAUAAAAUGAUGAUUAUAUUUUAAAACUUUAUUUUUAUUUGAUUUUAGUUUAUUAUACUGAUUAUGUUUUGGUUUAGGGUUAAAAAAUUGAUUAGAUUUCAAAUAUUUUGCUAUUUUCUUCUUAACAAACAACUGAUUUUUUUUGUAAAUGGUUCUAAAUAUUGGUUUUAUGUAAAUGUAAUGGUUAUAUUUUGGUUUGAUGGUUUAUGGUUUAAUUUCUAUAAUGAAUAUUUUAAUUAAAGUUUAGAUUUUAGGAUUUGGAGUUAAAGUGAGGGUUUGGGAUAUAGAUUUGAAAUGUUUGAUUUAAAAACUAAGAAUUAUAUAAAAGUGUUGGAUCUUAAUUUUAAUUAGGGUAUACAUUGGUAAUUAGAUUUUUGUUUAGAGUUUAUAAAUUUAGAGUUUGUCUUUAAGAUUUAGGUUUUCGUCUAGCCACGGAUUUUAUCUGUAGCAAAUUCGUGGCUAUAUAAUAAAAUAAAUUCGAAAAUAAAAUAAUCACGGAAAUUUCGUGGCUUUUUCGUAGCAAAUAGCCACGAAUUUGCUACAGAUAAAAUCCGUGGCAAAAAUUAGCCACGAAAAACCACCAGAAACCACGAAAAUUGUCACGUUAUUUUUUAGUGACUAAUUCGUGGCUGGUAUGAAAUUAGCCACGAAUGUCCAUGGCUAAACCGUGGUUAUACGGAAAAUUUCUACUAAUGACACUGUUCUUCUACACAAAUGUCGACUCAAGAACGGAUUAAAAUCACAAUAAAAAUUAAAUAAACAUUUUCAUCAAGAUCAUCAAGAGAUUUGCAUCUAAUCAAAACUGUUAUCAAAUAUCAACACAAACCGGAUUAGAUAAUACCCUUAAACCGGGUUUAUUUUAGACUCGCAAACCAAACAAUCUCUUUUCUUAUUGGAUUUUUCAUUAGUACAAUGACCAUUAUACCCUACUUAGACCGAGUCAUCAUCAUCCAUCUUCGUCUUCCCGUUCCUUCUUCUUUGUUUGAAUUUCUGAAAUUCACAAUUUCCCCCAAAUUGAGAAUCAAAAACCCUAGAAAUCUCCAUGAGAGAAAUCUUCUCUAUCUGAGUGCUAAAAUCCCAAAUGUCAAGGCUAAUGACCAGACCCAGCCGAUCAUUAAGCCCCAAUACGAAUCCAGAUCGAAUCGAAUCACCAACAAGCUCAAGAUCGGUGACGCAGACGACAAACGGAUCGCACCAAUUCGUGAUCCAAGGAUACAGUUUAGCUAAAGGAAUCGGAGUAGGGAAACACAUAGCAAGUGAUAAUUUCUCCGUCGGAGGUUAUCAAUGGACUAUCUUCGUCUACCCAGAUGGUAAAAAUCCAGAAGAUAACUCUUCUUACGUCUCUGUGUUCAUCGUUUUGGCUAGUGAAGGUACUGAAGUUAGAGCGCUUUUUGAGCUUGCUCUUGUUGAUCAAAGUGGUAAAGGGAAGCAUAAGGUUCAUAGCCAUUUUGAUCGGUCGCUUGAUGGUGGUCCUUACACGCUUAAAUAUAGAGGAAGUAUGUGGUAUGGCUUGAUUCUUUCUCUUAGUUCUUGUUUAUCAUAUGCAUAUUCCUGUGGAAAUUCGGUUUUCGUUGAUGGGUUAUUCAUAAAUUUUGAGUUAGAAACUUAAAUCAGUCUCAUUCGUGUAGUUGUGUUGGUACAUUUCGUUUGGUUGUGUUUGUAGAAACAUACUCUUAAAUACGUUAAGGUAAAAGUCUACUAGACUGGAUAGAGCUAUGCUAUGUGGUGAGAAUCCUGUGCUUGCUUAAACGCAGUCUCAUUUCGUUUGGUUGUGGUUGUAUGAUGACUAUUCUUCAUUUACUUUUGGCUGUGUUCUAUACUUAAGCAUGGAUUGUUUGAUAGUUGUUUUGCAAGUUUUACUGGAUUGUUGCUUUUAAUUGUUUUUGGAAUGUUGCUCUGUCAUUUCAGCUUUGUACUAUAAGGGAGGAUCUAAAUUUGAACUUUGUUUGUCAAUGGUGCAUGAUGUUUCAUGUUCAGUUUUGAAGAAUUCAGCUUUUCAUUUCUGUUUUACUCAGUUCAAUAAAGUUUUCAACUUGCUCAUAAUCAUGACUAUGGGUAUGGGUAGUUCUAUGUUCUAAGGUGUGUAAGCUAUCUGAAUUGUCAUAGUGUUUGUUCAGACAACCUUGUUAAGGUGCUUAACUGGAAAUUUCCUUUUUCAUUUACCUGCAGAAGCUUUAAAGUCUUGUCAGUAUCUUCAGUGGCCUAUUUUAUUGUUUUCACACUCAUUUUGCUGCUAUAUUGAACUGCUAACUCAGAGCCCUCAAAUUAUUGUGUCUUUUCUUUGGAUCUUGAUUAGGGGAUACAAGCGUUUCUUCAGACGUUCCUUGCUUGAGACAUCUGACUACCUUAAAGACGAUUGCUUGAAAAUCAAUUGCACAGUUGGAGUUGUUGUUUCAGAAAUACAUUGCCCACAAUUACUAUCAAUUCAUGUCCCAGACUCAGAACUUGGAUCACAUUUUGGAAAGUUGCUGGAUACUUUAGAAGGUUCAGAUGUCACAUUUGACAUUGCUGGUGAGAAGAUUCAAGCUCAUAAAUUGGUUUUGGCUGCACGAUCUCAGUUUUUCAGAUCGAAGUUUUACAAUGUCCCAGAAGCAAACAACAACGAGGUAGCGAUCAGCGAUUUGGAACCUAAGGUUUUCAAGGUACACAUUUCGAGUUUAUUGCUUCUCUUAAUAUUUUCUCUUCUGGUAUUAUUUGUCGUAUUUAUCCCUGGUAAUGUUCCACCUUAUACAGGCCUUGUUACACUUCAUGUAUAAGGAUUCUCUCCCAGGAAAUGUGGAACCAGUAACGGCUCAUUCAUUUGACCUAUUAAGGCUGUCCGAAAUAGAUGAUACACUGAUUGUAAAGCUUCUGGCAGCUUCGGAAAUGUACAAUCUGAGUAGGCUCAGAUUAUUGUGUGAAUCUCACAUCUGCAAAGCCGUAUCUAUCAGCUCCGUAUCCAAGAUCUUAGCUUUAGCCGACAAAUAUAAUGCAACUGAACUAAAAAGCGUAUCCCUAAAAUUCACUGCAGAAAACUUAGCAGGUACGAUCAAGAUCCAGCUUUAUGAGAUCAUGUUGAUAAAUAAUCUUCUCUAAGUUUGAUUUUUUUUGGCUGUCUUGGAAUUUAUAGCUGUUCUGCAGACAAAAGCUUAUGAAGAUCUGAAGGAUGACUGUCCAAACCUCCAGUCUGAGCUACUAAAGGUGGUGGCUGGUUAUGACGAAACAAGUAGCAGCGGAGGAGGAAAGUCUCAGAGUGUUUGGGCCCAACUCUCUGACGGUGGUGAGACCAGCAGCCGAAGAGUCAGGCAGAGAACCACUUAGAAGAGCUUCUUCUUCACAUGUUGUUGCAAAACAAAGUACAUUGUUACAUAUCUUUUGCUUACCACUCGUAAAAAGGUUAACCGGUUUAUCUUUUAUGGCCCGUGAUAUGUACCGAAUGAAAGGGAAGCGGAGUCGAACUCCUUUACCACAAGAGAAGAGCUAUGCGGCUGUGCACUAGUCUAGACAUUCUCGAUUUCUCGGUCAUUAACCGGUUCUUCACGUUUCUAUGGAUUUUUGUUUUUGUGUCUUUUUUUAGAAAGUCUUUUCUCUGUUUCGAAUUACUGAAAACAUAUGAUGAUCUAAUAAGUAUCUAACUCUCUCUGUAUGUAAAAGAAAGAGUUAAGUAUAUUCCUGUACGGAAGUUAUAAUCUUGCAACUUAUAACAAAGAAUCCUAGGUUACACAUUUUGAGAAUGCCUUCAAAUGAUACAUAUUAUGCUCAAAUUCUUGCAAAUUUCCUUUGCCAAUUAACGAAAAUAGAAAUUUUCCUUUGAGAUUGUUUAAAGUUUAAACUAAUGACAUUUUUGAACACUUUCUCUCCUUAUUUUCUGAACGUUACCAUUUUUUGUUUACCAUGAAUUUCCAUAAUUCCUUGCAAAAAAAAAAAAAAAUACGAAUUUCCAUAAUUUCUAGUUUCCAUCAUAUACCAGUAUAGGUUUUGUUUUAAUAAAUAAAAUACCUCAAUUAGGUUAUUGCAAUUAUUUAAUAGUACAAUAUUACAAAGUUGAAGUGUAUAAAUAUGUAUUGAUGACUUCUAUAAAUUGCUUGGACCCAAAGCUACCUAAAAUCUCCUUUUUCCAUGUCUUUAUUUUUUAUUAAAUUUAAAUAUUGACCCAAAAGUCCAAAACAAAUAAGAGGAUGAACAGAAGAAAAGAAAAUGUCCAAACUCCAAAGAUACGACCAUGCUCAAAGUCAAAAUCGUGUCCGUCGAAUAAACAAAUAAAAUUCCUUGCUCUCCAAGUCAUAAACCUAUAUAAUACUUAAAAAGAACAAAAUCAUAAGGGAAAAAAACAGCAAAAUCAACCAAUUUACUAAACUAUUAAGUUUCCUUUUAUUUUCAUCAAAACAACUUUCCAAAACCUAAUAGGAAUCAGCUAGAUUUGGCCUCUCUCUUCUCUAUAUAAAUAAACACAUCUACGAAACUCUCAUAAUUAGUUUUAGUUAGUGUUUUGUGUUGAACCAAGAUGGCGGAAGCAACAAGCGGUGAAGAAAGGAUGUGGUGCGGUCACUGCUGUGUUGAAACUCCUAUCCGCCGUGAAGGAAACGCCGGUUCUGUCAAGUAUGUUCUCCCAUCACAUUCUUUUUUUUUUCCUAUUUUGAAAGUUUAUAAUUAUAACUUGGAUAUUGAAAAUAAUUUUCGCAGGUCGUGUAAUUGGUGUGGAAAAGUGCUAGCAGAUGAAACUGGAACCGCUGAUGAAUAUAAUCAACUCUUUCUUCGACUUCAAGCUUUACAAGACUAUGUUUCUGUUUACAACAAGAGGAGGACUCGGCGUAUCAAGAAACAAUAAAACUGAUAAUUUUAUCUUUAUGAUUUUUGUUAAGGAAAAAAUCUGAAAAAACCGUCAUUUAUUUUUAUUUGUAGUUUUAAAAUUGGAAUAAAAAUAGUAAUAUACCUCGUUUAGUUGUUGUUGUUUUUUAAAUUUUUCGUUUUUUAUAUUUUGGUAGAUUCGUACCUGCGCGUUAACGGUUGUUAACGAUGGUAACAGAAUCGCUAACUGCAGUUAAAAUUUAAUCCAGAAUGUUUACGUAUAUAUAUAUACAAUCUCUUUACAAACAUAUACGAAUAUAUUGUCUUAUUUAUGAUUUGAUUAUUAAUAUUGUGUGUGUUUUAUUGUAUAUAUGAAAAUGUGUAUGUGAAGUGUUGAAUUCGAUAUUGUUAUGAAUGAGGCCCAUAUAUGAAACCCAACUAUUGACAUAUUAUAUUAUUAUUUCUGGAAUUGGGCUUAGAUAUAGGAAAUUCUUAGCACAACUGUUUAAUAUUUGUCGGUUCAACAACAGGAAAAAAAAAGAUAACGAAAACGAAAAUAUCUUCAAUCUUAUUCUGCAGCGAAAUCAAAAUUUUCCAGAGACCAAUCAAUUGAGAGAUUGCAUCUCCGAUUUCUGUCUUAGCAAGCAAAAUUAAUGGAAUUAAAAUCGAAGAGGUAAGAAAAAUUUAUGUUUUUCAUCUAUAAGAUCUAUAUAAAUUGCAAUCGAUUCGAAUUCAGAACUUACAAAUCAAUAAUACAUCUUCGAAAUUAAGUUGUUAUAGUAGAUGAGAUAAGUUUAAUUAUACGAAAAGAUUGGGUUGUAGAUUGUGCAGAUUGAUGUACUGUGCAAGGUCAAACAAAAUUCGGAAAUAAUUCCUCUAUAUAUCGAUGUAGUUAGUUUUCAUUGAUGUGUAUCAGUCCCUUGAUAUUAAGUUUAACAGGUGAUGUAUCUGAAUAUAAGAUAGACGAAUUUUAUGCAUUUAUUUGAAUCUCUGUUGGGAAAGUAUUGUUAGAAAAUUUGGUUUUGUUUGGAUGGUAUUGUAAUAUGAACAGGUAAAUAUAUGCUUUAAAGAUAUGUAUUUGAUUAAAGGAAGAGCAUAAGAUAAGACUUAGUAGUAAAGUUGACUGGAAUUGAAUUAUUACAUAGUAGUAAUAAGAUUUUUAUUAUUAGAAAACAUGCUCAGUAAGCAAUUGAAGAUAGAAAUAAGCAAAGGUGCAAAGGUCUGAUACCAUUGAGACUUGUAAAAACGUUACUAAGAGCCAUUUGUGAGAAAGAGUUUGUUUGAUGGAAGUAAAGUUGAUUGGUAAUGAUUUGUGUUUAUACGGAUGGCUUGAUCAUAUAUUUAUACUGGGAACGCAUAUAUUAAGAGAAGUAGGGUUUAUGCAUAGAAUAUUCGUCAAAAUAUAUUCAACGGCGAGAUUGUAGGAUUUUUUUGAUUAGGGAAAACUUAAAAAAGGAAGUAAUAUCUCAACAAAAUAUAUGAUAAAGGUUUGAUAUAUAAUUCGAUUUUGUAUUAUGGAGAUUUUUUACGAUUCUACUUGUAAAUAAAGUAAGUAAGAUUGUUUGGGAGAUAAAUUAGGUAUUUGUGCACAAAAAAAGAUUAUUAAGAUCUCAACGAUUAAUUUUGCAUAAUCUUAUUUCCAUAAGCUGUUGAACGCAAUUCUCCUUUUUGUUAGGUAAUUAAUGCUCUUUUUUCGUAAAUAAUGUUUUAGGGUCGUUUUUUCCGAGUUUAAUAUUUUGUAAAGUUUGUAAUUAUGUCUAGAAGAUCCGAUUAGUAUAUUUCCGGGUCAUUCUUAUUUUUUUCAAUUUUAACCCGAUCCAAGUACAUUUGUACUUCUUUUAAUAGUAUAGAGAUUAUCAUUGUCUAAGCCAAUUGAGGCACAUCGUUAACUGGCUAAACGGAGCAAUCAGACGAUGUCAUCACAUAGUUUUUGAAGAUGAAGAUGGAAAUCAUGUUGGUGUAAAAGAAAAAUUGUGCGAUAGUUUUGAAGUGCCAGUUAUUCGCUGACAUCAUCUUAUUGAUCCGUUUAGCCAGUUAACGAUUUGCCUCAAUUGGCUUUGUCAACGAGAAUUCAUGAUUAAAAUGAAAAUCAACAUAAAAUUAAGGAUUUAAAUCACCAGGUCUAGAGUUCAUGCUUUAAACCAACGAAAAUGUUAAACUGAUGAUUUAAAUGACAUUUUUCUCUUUGAAUAUCCACUUUUUUAGGUGUUUUUGUUUUUUCACUUCGUCUUCUUCAAAACUAUCUGUUCCACUAUAAACCCUAGAUAUUAUUUCUCAAUUUCUUGUUAAUGUGACGGAGGAAAUAAAUAAGAAUUCAUGUGAAUUUUAAAUAAGCCAUAAAAAAUCGGGAAUUGAAAUUAGGGAAAGACAGAGAAAGAUGAAGAACAAAGGCCAUUCUUUUUUAUUGAGUGCUUCGUUGGAGCUAUUGAGACUGCCUUCUUUUAAUACAGCGACCGACGUUGUUGAUUCUAAGGUCUGUAACUCACCGAGAUCGGACUCCAAGUAAUUUUGAUGAUCUCAUUCUAGAGGCAUCUGUUCAGAUCUUGUGUUUCUAUGUUACUUGAUUCCAUUAUUCUGUUAUAAAAGACGAAGUCCGAUUUAAAGUGAUUGAAAUUGAGAAGUAAGAAGAUUUAGGAUUCAUAGUGUGAAAAGCGAACAAAUAGAUUUGUGAAGAAUGAAGAAGACGAAGUUAAAAAACGCCUAAGAAUGACAGAGCCAGGAUUCAAACUCAACGCGCAGGUACGAAUCUACCAAAAUUUUUAAAAAGAAAAAUUUAAAAGACAACAACAAUUAACCGAGGUAUUUUUAUUCUAAUUUUAAAACUACACGUAUUAAACAACCAAAUAUAAAAUAGAUGGCAAUUUUUCCGGAUUUUUUCCCGCUUUUGUAAGUAGGAUUUCAAACAUAUAAAUCUGUUUAUUUUGGUCGCUAGAUAAAAUACUGAUAAGGAUAUGUUUAUCUUCCUAUUAUUUUGAGGGAUUUUGAUGUGUGUCAGGUUUUAAAAUCCUAAAGAACACAACGAAUAAGCUGCAAGUGCACAACAAAUCAGUCGUAGUACUUAAGGUAUCGAAUCCACAGAGAGAAAAGUAGUUCAGACAAGUUUAUUAGAACGAGUAAAGCUAGGACAAAACAAUAAAGAUGGAUUGGUUGUGGUGUCACGAUUUGCAAGUAAAAGUAAAUAAGAAAACAAGUAAAUAAACGCAAGAAAACUAUGAGAGACAAACGUUGGGCAUCAAGGGUACCGCAGGGGGUUCAAUGGUCGCUAUCUAAGAAUUACUAGAAUUAGGUUUGUUUGCUUCCAAGUCUCGGACAUACGAAACACUAAGAUUCGGCUUAUACUAGGUUAUAGAAUAAGUCGGCUAAAAUCCUUAUACUCCGUUACUCAACUUAGACAGGCAACGACGCAUAUAUCAAAGCAAUAAGAUCCAGUUCGAUUCUAGUCCAUAAAGCCCUAUAACUAAGUGGUGUGUGCUUGUUAUAACACGAUACACAUUCGUAAUCUAGGUCUAGCGAAUUAAGAAACCUUAUGAGAAACCUAAACGCUUGGGAUCACGAGGACAUGAAUCUAACUACUUGAAUUAAGAAACAACUUACUUAGAAAGAAUACAGUGUAAACGAUCAAACAAAACCCUAAGUAUCGCCACUUAAACGAUCGAUCAUAUUCCCCCCUUUGAUUAACCCUUUAAACCCAACUAGGAAACUACUCUAGCAUGAUUAAAGAGAUCAUCAAAGUAAGGUUUGAUAAACUCAUAAGAAAGAGAAGAAUAAGAACUAAAAAGGGUUUAGAGAUUACUUCAAUGAUUGUAGAAUACAAGAGGUAAGACUUCACCUUAAUAGAUCUUAAAGUAGACAAGAGAAGAGAGAGAGAGAUUCGGUGGAACUUCAAAGCUUCAAGGUCGAUGGCUGCAGCUCUCCGGCGAGGGCAGAGGCGAGCUUGAUGGAGACUUUAGGGGCACGAUUGAGGCACUUCGAAGACUCCCCUAGGUUUAGGGCUUCCAACAUAUAUUUAUAGGGUUUGGAGACAAAGGAUUAGGUUUAGGGGUAAAAGCAUGUUUUCCCGUGAUUAGGUUAAGUGAAAACUCGAGUUUCUUGCAAGGGAGAAGUCUUAGUGGCCGGUGUGGAGAGUGAGAGGCAGCCUGGGCUCGGCCCAUGUGACCGGUGUGGCUUAGAAGCUCCGGAUCGGUUGCGUAGCUUCUGGCCGGUCUGGAUAUGUCUUCACUCUUCUGGUCGUAACUUCCGGACGGCUCAAUGAAAUGCUCUAAUUCCACUUCGAGGCAAAUCCUGACUCUUCUAGCUUUCCAUAUAUACUGAGAUCUCUUGAUUUAGUAACCAGUAAGACCUUGAACGGAUGCCAUACAUAUGAAGUACAGAAACUGUCUUGAAACGGGUUUUGAUCGCCUUUUGGUCUUUAAAGCUCAAAAACUCUUAAAACCUUCUUGGCUCCAUAAAUACUUGAAUAACUCCUUCUUAGCUCUGAAAUCACUCCAAAUGCUCCAUAAAACAUAAGAAAACAAUAACAAAUAUGGGCGAAAAUCCCAUGUUAUCAGAUUUCUUCUCCGAAGAAGAUGAAUUUAACCUGGUGUGGAUCUCGCCCUCUGAGAGAAAGGUAGGCCCUUCAAACUUGAACUUCUAGAUAUUAAAAAAAAUAUAUUCAUAUUUGUUUUAGGAAAAAACCCAAAAAACCGCCGUCUAUUUUUUAUUUGUCCGUUUAAUAUGUGUAGUUUUAAAUUGAAAUAAAAACAUCUCGUUUAUUUUUUGUUGCCUUUUAAAUUCAUAGUCUUUUAAAUCUUGGUAUCUUCGGACCCGCGACUUAACAGCCGUUAAUGGCCGUAACAGAACUAUUUAACAACUUUAAAUUUUAACCCUUCAUGUUUAACAAUAUAUACAAUCGGUUUAUAUUAUAUUACGAACUGUCUUGGUCUAGUGGUAACUCAUAUCUUGUUUAAGGGGAAAAAACCCGAAAAACUGCCGUCUAUUUUUUAUUUAGCCGUUUAAUAUGUGUAGUUUUGAAAUUGGAAUAAAAAUACUUUUAAUUUUUUUUACGGAUUCAAUUCCACCACCAACCCUUUUAAUAUUUUUUCUUUUUUACUUCUUUUGAGUUUCACUUCAUCUUUUGCCCCUCUUUCUUCACUGAUUUUUCUUUCUUCUAAAUAAGAGUCUUUUGUUUUUUUUUGGCCUCCUCACCUUCUUCACAAAACAUAAACUCUCUCUUUACAAAACGCCAGAGUCACCAAAAACCCUAAAUUUUCCUCUGCUUCAAUGGCGAUUUCAUCUCCCGCCGCUACUUCUUCCUCUUCAAAACUCCUCAUUUCCUUCACUUUUCCAUCAAUCUCGACCAUUAAACCAAAAUCCCUAACUCUCUCUUCAUCCUUCCUCCCAUCAAUCACAUCUCUCUCCAUCACAACCACCAAGAAAAAUGUUGAGAAUUGAAUUGGAAAAAAAAAAUCAAUUACAGUGACGGAAGUGAAAACUCUGUGAAGAAGACGAAGUUAAAUUAAAAAAAUGAAAAAAAAAUUUACAGUUACUGAAGUGAAAACUCCGUGAAGAAGAUGAAGUUAAAUAAAAUAAAAAUAAAAAAAAGGUUAAAAGAGUUGGAGGUGGGCUCAAACCCGUCAAUUGAGGGUUAAUCAAGAAAAUGAUAACCACUAGACGAAGAUAUUAUAUUCUUUAUAUUAAGUAAAUCGAUUGUAUAUAUAUAGAAAACACGAAGGGUUAAACUUCAACGUUGUUAAAUAAUUUCACUACGGCCAUUAAAGGCUAUUAAGUCGCGAAUCCAAAAUUACCAAGAUUUUGAAGAUAAUAAAUUUAAAAGGCAACAAAAAAUAAACGACAUAGUUUUAUUCCAAUUCUAAAACUACACGCCAAAUAAAAAACCGCCGUCAAUUCUAAAAUGUACAACAUCAAUAUAUAGUUUUUUUUGUUUUUUUUUUUUUUCUAUAAAAAGUCUUUUGAUCUUCACCAAAAAAAAAGUCUUUUGAUUGUUCCAGCUUUAACAGGAAAAAAUUUGAAACUAAAACUGAUGAAUAUCUUACGACAGAGAUAUUAAUAAUCUGACAGAAACAGAAAAGUUAACGUAACAGACCGUAUGUUUCACUGGUUCAGUUUUAAUGAUGUCAAUACAGUGCUUUUAACAUACGGGGCCGUAGUACUAAGUACUAACAUUGCAAUUGAUUCGAGAUUAUACCUAGCAAAAAAAACAACACGUUCUACCAUAACCCACCAAAAGAAAAUCAUGACGAGUUUGAAACAAAACUAAACAAAGAACCAUAAAAAAUGAUAUUCAAUUUAACAUAAUUUAGUAGAAUGAAUUACAGUGGUAUUCAAUUAGGUAUUUUAUAAAUUCUUUUAAAUUCAUAUGGUAUUAGAUAAAGUGUUUGUGAUCAUCCUUUUAAAUUCCAAUGUUAUUCAAUUUAUUAAAUUUUUAAUUUUGUUAAUAUAAUUAUUAUUUAGUAUUGAUAUCAAUAUUUCCUAAAAGUACUCUUAGAUUUAACUAAACAUUGAUUAGACCAUAAUAAAACUAUAGAACCAUAAAGUGCUAAUUAAACAUAAGAUGAAGAUAAAAAAGACAGACAAACACACACACCACAAGCUAAUACUUGCAAACAUAAUUAAAACCAUAAUUAAACAUAAGAUAAAGAAAAAGAAAAAGAAAAAGAAAAAACAUACGAACACACUAAUACUUGCAAACAUAAAACUAUAGUUAAAUAUACGAUGAAACCCUCAUGGUCGAUCACUUCCACUAGUCGAUGGCCAUGACUCGCCUCGUGAGCACUCGCCGCCACUGUCUCCCAAAGGUAGGAUGCCUUGGUGCCAUCCGGUUCGAGUAAAUCCAAGAUCUUGUUGAAGUGAUGGAUGAUCGUUUAUGACGGUAAAAUUAUAAUUUUCCGAUCUAUACGUUGAUGUUCUCCACCGCUUCAUCAUGAGUGAGGAAGCGUCUCAAACUGUCAAGAUAAGCAUUUAAGAUCAGUGGGGGUAUUCUGGGCAUACCACUGCGCCCUCCAUUGUUCGCCGAGUGGAUGAGUGAAGUUACGGAGGUUCGAAUGUCCUCACUAACUCGUUGGGAUCUUGGUUUCUUUUAGAAAGAGAUUUGGCUCCGAAUGGAGGAAGCGGUUCAAGUGGAGCGGAUCAAGUGGUUCAAGCAGAUCAAACAGAACAAGUGUGGAUCAAGCGGAUCUGGUGGUACAAGAGCGGAUCAAGUGGUUCAAGUGGAUCAAGCAGAACAAGUGUAGAUCAAGCGGAUCUGGUGGUACAAGAGCGGAUCAAGCGGUUCUGGUGUUCCAAAACCUGUAUUUGAUUGGUGAAAGCGGAUCAAAUAGUGCGGAUCAAAAUUUUAUAUAGUAAUAAAGUCAAUUUUAAAUUAAAUAUUUUUAUAGAAUACUAUACAUAUUAAAUUAAAUUAUAUUAGAUUAAAAGUUUUUAGUAGUUUAGCAUAUUUUAGAACAACUAUUUUUUCUAAUACAAUGUAUAAAUAUUUAUAUUACAUUUUUGAACAUGUAUCCAAUUUUCUUAUUAUAUAAUAUUAUUUACUAUUUUAGAUAUAAUAUAAUACAUCAAAUGUUAAGUACAACAAAUAACUAUAUUUUAAAUAAUCAUACAAUAUUUGGAAAUAUAUAUAUAUAUACUACAAGAAAACCUGUAUUUUGCAACUAACUUUGCGACCAAUUUGCGAUUAUUUCCAGACUAAUUUGCGUUAAUGACGAAAUAAAACACAUAUAAAAAAUAAUUGCAAUUCAGCGAUUAAACCUAACAGUCGGUAAUUCGUCGUCCUUUAGCGACGGUUGUGCGACCGAUGACAGACUAAUAUGUUUUAGUCGCAAAUGAGUCGCAGGUUUGCGAUUGAUGUGCCACUCGGUAUUUGGUCAGAAAUGAUGGUCGCAAUUUAGUCUCAAAAGAGCGACGAUUUAACAACCACCUGUUAUAGGUACGCUUUAGUUGCAAAUUAGUUGGAAAAUUUUGGUACAAAACACGUUGAAAUUGCAGAGGAGGUAGGUGUACUGAACUUUUGUGACUAUGUGAAAACGGACGCAAAAUAGUCACAAAUUUAAGCCUAUAUAUACCACCCCUCAUUCAUUUCAUUUCUCCUUCCCACUCUUCCAUUCUCCCAUUUGUAAGUAAAAAAAAAAAACAAAGAGAAAGAAGAAGAGAAAAUAAAAUAAAAAAAAAGAAAAAGAGAAGAAAAACAAAGGGAAAAAAAGAAAAAAAAAAAACGAUGUGGAAUAAUCUGUCACGAGAAUGGAUGUACAACCGAAUCGAUCCAUACACAAAUCACAUUGCGGCGGACUAUUUGGCGGGUGUGGAAGCGUUCAUCAGUUAUGCAAGCCAUGUUGAAGACAGAAAAGGUCGGUUUUUAUUAUGUCCUUGUGUAAUAUGUCAAAAUUCGAAACCCGUGAAAGCUGUUACGGUAUCAAGUCAUUAGCUUAGUAGAGGAUUUAUGCCGAAUUACUAUGUAUGGUAUAAGCAUGGGGAGGAUUAUAAUGUUGUUGGGAAGGGUACUAGUAACUAUGUUGAUAAUACCAAAUAUACUAGUACUGUUAAUGAACCAAUAGGCUUUGAUGGGAAAAAUGUAUUUGCUGGGAUGGUUAAUGAUGCUUUUCAUGGUUCUGUACCAUAUAACGAGUAUCAUGAACAUGAAAGUGGAAACGAUCAUGUUCAUGAAGAACCCACCCAAGAUGCAAAACAAUUUUAUGACAUGCUAGCUGCCGCAAACACUCCACUUUACGAUGGAUUUAGGAAGGUCAAUCGCAAUUAUCGUUGGCAGCUCGGUUCAUGAACAAUAAGGUGGACCACAAUUUGUCAGAAACUAGCAUGGACGGAUGAGCAGAAUUGUUUACAGAAUAUUUACUAGAAGGUAAUCAGGCGACCGAUUCCUACUACAAGACAUAGACUUUGAUGCGAAAGCUAGGAUUGCCGUACUAUACAUAUGAUGUAUGUAUAGAUAAUUGUAUGUUUUUUUGAAAAUAUGAUGAGAAGUUGGGGAAUUCCAAGUUCUGCGGAAAACCAUGAAAAAAGGAGAGUGAAGGAAGAACAAGAAUACCAUUUAGUAAGAUGUGGUAUUUAUCGACUGGGGACAGAUUGAAGAGAAUGUACCAAUCUGGGAAGAAUGCAGCUUCGAUAAGAUGGCAUGCUGAGCACGAAUCGGAAGAAGGAUUAAUGUGUCAUCCAUCAGAUGCGGCUGGGUGGAAGAAUUUCCAGCAACUGCAUCCUUCAUUUGCCGAAGAACCGCGAAACGUUUAUCUUGGAUUAUGUACUGACGGUUUCAAUCCGUUUGGUAUGUCCAAAAAUCAUUCGUUGUGGCCAGUGAUCUUGACGCCAUACAACUUGCCUCCGGAUAUGUGCAUUAAAAGUGAGUAUUUGUUUUUGACGAUUUUGAAUUCGGGACCAAAUCAUCCACGAGCCAGUCUUGAUGUUUUCCUUUAACCACAAAUCGACGAGUUACAAGAGUUGUGGCAUAAUGGAGUUGAGGCAUAUGAUGUGUCCUUAGAUCAAAACUUCAACCUUAAAGCGGUUCUUUUGUGGACUAUUAGCGAUUUCCCAGCAUAGGGCAUGUUGUCGGGAUGGACUACUCAAAGUCGAUUAUCGUGUCCAAUUUGUAUGGAGGAUAGAAAUGCAUUUUGGUUGCCAGGUGGUAGGAAGACUUGUUGGUUUGAUUGCCAUAGAAGAUUUCUUCUUGUAAAUCAUUUGUUACGGAACGAUAAAACGCACUUUCUAAAGGGUAAGGGAGUGAAGGACUACCCACCGCAAUCUUUGACUGGUGAACAAGUAUUAUAUGAGCGUAUAAGGUCUGCCGAGCCACCUAUGACAUCUAAUUGCGGAGGAAAUGAGCAUGAAAAAAAGUGGAUGGCUAUGGACAAUGGCAUAAUUGGCACAAAGAAAGCAUUCUUUGGCAACUUGAUGUGUGUCAGGUUUUAAUCCUAAAGAACACAACGAUAAAGCUGCAAGUGCACAACAAAUCAAUUGUAGUACUUAAGGUAUCGAUCCCACAUAGACUAAUAAGUUACAGGACGAGUUUUAUGAAGAAGGAAUAUGUCUAAGACAAAUCAAAAGAGGGGUUUGGUUUUGGGUUUUGUAACUAAAGUAAACUAAAAAUAAAUGCAAUGUAAACGAUUAAGAGAUAUCAAUAAAACGAAUAUCGGGCUGCAGGGAAUUCUUAGGGUAUCAUGGAUUGAAUCAUGUUAGGAAAUCAAACGAGGAAUUUCGGUUAUUUAUGUUCAGGAACUAGAAUUUUGAUUAAGAGAUUGGUCUACUCCCAUAGCACCAAUAACUAUGUCUAAACACCCUAAAUUACUCUAUUUCCGCAGGUAAUCAAGAUGCUAAACAUGCAUAAACAAUCCAAAUUCAAUAUGUUCACAAAGCUUUAUAACUCAACUUUCGGUUGGUUAUAACGCUUUGCUGAUCUAAAUUACUUUAGGCGAUCUAAAUCUAUCCUAAUUGCAGUAGCUAGACGGUCAAUCAAGCAGUAAGCAUCAAAGUAAACAUAGAGUGGUAAAUAAUAAACUAGAAAACCUAUAUCUAAUCACCCUAAAUAACGAUCCAUGAAUCCCCUUUCGAAAACCCUUAAACCCAACGAGAGAACUACUCACACAUACUCAUAGAAAGCAAAACCAUAUGAAUAAGAGAUUGCAUAAAAGAGUAUGAAUAUGAAAAGGGUUUAGAGAUCUUCUCUGGAAUACAAAGUAGAUGAAUAGAGAGAAAAGAAGAAGAGAAAGUGUUGUGGUGGUUGGCGGCUUCACCGGCGGCAAUCGGUGAGGAACGACGGUGAGGGAGCUUUGGAGGCUUCUCUGUUCGUCUCUAGGAGGCUGCUGAUGAUGGAGGUCGAAGACACCCUAGGUUUAGGGUUUACAACUUGUAUUUAUAGGCCUCGGGAAGUAACAAGUCGGUUUAGGGUUUUCUCGGCAAAACUACGUAGUUUUAAUAAGUGCAGAGACAAGACGGCUUAGACAGGUCACGAGGCUCCAUGACCGGGCUCACCAAGAAGAUCCACACCGGUCACGUUGGGUUGUGACCGGUGCACCCAAGAGCUUCACCACCGGUCGCACGCCUUGCGACCGAUCUCUGACAGGUUGACUUCUGUUUGGCAGCUGGGAUUGAGUUGAUUCUUCCUCCAUUGUAAUCUUGACUCUUCCAGCUUUCCAUAGAGUCCAAGAUAUCCGAAUUUUCUUCACGGAAAGGCCUCCAACGGAUGCCUAAAUUCUGGAGCUUCGAAUCUAUCCUAAAACGGGUUUUGCUCGUCUUUUGGUCCAUUUUGCUUAGAAACUCUUAAACCUUCUUGACUCCAUAAAAUACUUGAAUAUCUCCUCUUUAGCCUUGAAAUCACACCAAACACUUCCUAAAACAGCAUAAAACAUUAAGAAAUAUGGGCGAAAAUCCCAUGUUAUCAACUUCCACAGACUUAGACUUUGCUUGUCCUCAAGCAAACAAGAAAGCAAAUCCGGUGGAGAGGUUUAGAAAUCUCGGGAACUCUCCUAUGAACAGAGACCAUGUUCCAAAAGAUAACCUGCAGACUUGUAAAUACAAAGACAUCGCGUUAGAACAUUCUCACUAUAGACUCACCACAUUCACAAUCCUGGUCCAUCCAUCUCAAACCUACAAGAAAACUCUAAAAUCACGUUAGUUAACUCUCUACAUUCAUUAAUAAGGUGGCGUAGACUUUCUCAAUAGGAGGCAUCAUUCAGGGUAGACGGCGCUUGGUAUGAAAGGGGCUUUUUGGUGUUUGGUGGUGGAGUUAAAGUGUUUAGGGUUACCGUAUAAUCUCGAGAAUGUAGGAUAUGUUGCAAAACCGCAAGAGAGAACGGAUCUGUUGAGGUCCACAGUUUGCAACCACUUUUUCUUGUAAACACCUCAUCUCCUUACUUCUUUUCGUCUUUUCGAUUCCCCCAGACUUAGGCUUUUCGUGGGGAUCUCUUUGAAUGAUUACAUCUCUCAUCUAAGUGAUCCAUGUCUUUCCUUGGGAUUCCUCUGUACUUAUGAGACUUCUUAUUUCGUAACCACUUCCUUUCCUUUAGUUUUUUUUUUUUUUUUUUUUUUUGGAAAGGGGAAACGGUACUCAUUAUAUACACGAGUCUCAUAAGUACGAAAUAAGUACCUUUUGAAAUCGAAUCCCAAGGAAGAAUAAGCUCUAGACCAAAUCAUCGCAUCCUCCCUGUAGCUUCCGAAUCUCCGUCUUCGUGGCAGGAAACUCUGUCGUUCCUUUCUCUCCGACGUUUUUGCACAUAGCUGCUAAUUUGAGAAAAGGAAAAAGAGAAUGCAUGAGGUCUGAAAAGAGGAUAGGGUUUAAGGGUAGGAACCACUAAAAGUGAGUGGCCAUUCAGGAUCAGCAGAGAGUGGUAAAAAGGGAUAAGAAGUCCUGAAUGUAUAUGCUCGUUUCCCCGAUCUAACACCUCUUCAUGAGAAAGAAUUAUGUUCAGGUUAGAUAGUCCAAAUAUAAUAGAGUUAACUUCAGAUCAAACAAAGUCUCCCCGGUAGAGACUUCAGGGGGAAAGAUCCCGUUGAGAGUUUCUAGGUAUUGUCUGUUCUUAGCGAGUCCUGCAAAACUUGUCACUUAGGAAAUGAGUUAGAACAUAUGAACGGUUGGUUUCAUCAUAUGAUAAGGUCAUCAUUCUACUGGUUUUGACUCAAUAAAACUUUGACUCGAUAAAACAUCUUAAUUACCUAAAAUUUCUUGAUGUAAAAAUGGAAAAAGUUCUCAAGUCAACAAAUAAAGAGUAGCAUUAGUACGAAUCCCCCCAGACUUAAAUCACACCGUCCUCGGUGGGAAAAUAGUAUGGGAAGAGUAAGAAAAAGAAAGAUAGGGUUAAGAACAAUGUCACCUUGGUGUGGCGACUAACCGUAUAUUCUUCUUCAGUACUUACUUGUAAUCGAUUUAACUUGGGUAAGUUAAUCGAGAUCGGCAAUAUAAAUCUUUAGAUGCAUCUU
rnacentral:lncRNA from 1 species